rnacentral:rRNA from 1 species
CGGACUGGAGUCUGCAACCCGACUCCACGAAGUUGGAUUCGCUAGUAAUCGCGCAUCAGCCAUGGCGCGGUGAAUACGUUCCCGGGCCUUGUACACACCGCCCGUCAAGCCAUGGGAGCCGGGGGCGCCUGAAGUCCGGGACCGCGAGGACCGGCCUAGGGCGAAACUGGUAACUGGGGCUAAGUCGUAACAAGGUAAC